rnacentral:rRNA from 1 species
GACGAACGCUGGCGGCGUGCCUAAUACAUGCAAGUCGAGCGCAGGAAGCCGUCUGAACCCUUCGGGGGGACGACGGUGGAAUGAGCGGCGGACGGGUGAGUAACACGUAAAGAACCUGCCCAUAGGUCUGGGAUAACCACGAGAAAUCGGGGCUAAUACCGGAUGUGUCAUCGGACCGCAUGGUCCGCUGAUGAAAGGCGCUCCGGCGUUGCCCAUGGAUGGCUUUGCGGUGCAUUAGCUAGUGGGUGGGGUAACGGCCCACCAAGGCGACGAUGCAUAGCCGACCUGAGAGGGUGAUCGGCCACACUGGGACUGAGACACGGCCCAGACUCCUACGGGAGGCAGCAGUAGGGAAUCUUCCACAGUGGACGAAAGUCUGAUGGAGCAACGCCGCGUGAACGAUGAAGGCUUUCGGGUCGUAAAGUUCUGUUGUAAGGGAAGAACAAGUGCCGCAGGCAAUGGCGGCACCUUGACGGUACCUUGCGAGAAAGCCACGGCUAACUACGUGCCAGCCGCCGCAGUAACAC